AACAUACAUUUUCCACCUAAUGUCUUCAAAUUAAACUGUAUGUUUUACAAGUCGGUCUGAUGAUUUCUUCCUUUCUAAGUGGCAACUUAUUGGUCAGAUUAAGUGCAAAGUCAACUUGAUCUUGUGCCAAGAGUCUCUGGGCUGUACUCUUCGAUUUUCAGAUCAUAAAGUAAUUUGAAGACAAGAACAGUCGUGACAGAAUGAUGAGCUUUGGGGCGUCUGACAUCAGAGCGGGCCACAGGUUUUAUUGCAUUCACUGAAAAUGGAUAUUUAACAAAUCGUUGAACACAAUUUUAUGUGGCCGUAGGCUGUGGCAAAGAGGAGCUGCAAAAAUCCUAACGCUGACAGCUACACGUGGGCUGGAAAUAUAUUUUAUGAAAAAGAAAUCACAGGCAUGCAGCACUUUCUUCAUUUCAGACAGGGUGAGAGGAGGUGAGGCACUUGAGUUCUCCACCAAGGCCAGAGCUGCCCGGCUAAGCGUCACUCUCUCUGUCUGAGGAAGAUAAAUGGGCCUAGCUUCAAAACACACAGAGAAAGAGUAAGCGAGCCAAGUAGAAAAGAGGAGGAAAAAGAAGAAAAGGGGGACAGGAAAAGAAAGAAAGCAAGAGAGAUAAAAAGGAGACACACCUUCCAGGUGCCAGUGCUUGACUCUUUGACUGAUGAGAGGGAGAGGUGGUUAAUUGCCUGGCAGAGGAGAGAAUGAAAAUGGAUUUAUUCUAAUAAGUAGCCUUGGAUACGGAGACCCACGCAAAGAGUGCGGAAGAGGCCUGUCUGCUUCUCGGUUCUCUUCAAAGAGACUGUGUAUGUGUGUCUGGUUGUGUGUUGGUGACCUUGUUUAGCAUCGAAGGACAGCCCUGGUUAGAGGCCUCGGUUCUUGUCAAAUAAAGCAUGUAACGGGAGAAAACUGAUGCUUUUUUGUUAUGUUUUUGUCUGUGUGUGUACUCGCAUUACAAAGUCUCUGCCUGCUGAGUUUAACCUUCAUAGUGAAUUUUUGUUACAGUAUCUUGAGGAAGUGUGCUGCUAAUUGAAGAAAUAUGCAGAAUUUUUAAACAUAGAUUUUUAAAUCUAC